AGCAUCCUAGCCGACGCCGGCGUCGCACGAGGCCGGCAGCCCCGACGGGCCCGGCAGUCUCGAGGCGACGACGGCAGUCGUUCGGUGCGGGCGAUUGACGCCGAGUUCGGGCAAAUGGAGGUCGUCGAGCAACCCCCGCCCUCCUGGUGCACUGCAUCCGAGAGCUCAGGCAGCAGCCCGUGGGCCGGGACGCGUCGCUUGGCUGCGACCCGGAACACGGACUCGCCUUCGCGGUUCACCCCACGCCGCGCCCACACAAGGAAGCCGCAGCGCCGGGAGAACGUCGGGUCGUUUUGUCCUCCGAAUUCCUUCCGGUAGGUAUGCAAUACAGGAAAACCCGCGGGCGGCCAAGGCCGGUGAC
rnacentral:misc_RNA from 1 species